rnacentral:rRNA from 1 species
UACGUAGGGUGCGAGCGUUGGUCCGGAAUUAUUGGGCGUAAAGAGCUCGUAGGCGGUGUGUCACGUCGGCCGUGAAAACCUGCAGCUUAACUGUGGGCGUGCGGUCGAUACGGGCAUCACUGGAGUUCGGCAGGGGAGACUGGAAUUCCUGGUGUAGCGGUGAAAUGCGCAGAUAUCAGGAGGAACACCGGUGGCGAAGGCGGGUCUCUGGGCCGAUACUGACGCUGAGGAGCGAAAGCGUGGGGAGCAAACAGG